rnacentral:tRNA from 1 species
GGUCUCGUAGCUCAGUUGAUGAGAGCGCUGGCUGUACGCAAGCCUUGUCCUUGCUAUUGUAGGUUCAAAUCCUACCAAGACCA